UUUCCGUAGGUGAACCUGCGGAAGGAUCAUUCACAAUAAGUCCUCUAUGGCACUUUUGAAACAAUCCCUAUCGACAUUGUGUGCAACGUUAUGAGACCCUUUCUCGUUAUCUUUUAGGCUACGGAAGAGGGAACCGCUACCACUUACCAACAUCACCUCUAACUAAUUUGUAUGAACAUUUGUUAUCACGAAUUAACUUAAUUCGAAAAUACAACUUUCAACAACGGAUCUCUUGGCUCUC
rnacentral:misc_RNA from 1 species